rnacentral:misc_RNA from 1 species
AAUAGUAAAUGAAGCAAUGGGCCGAAGGGCCAUUCACAAAGCCUUCUAUGAAUCUGCAGCGCUUAUUGUUGCUAGCAUUCUGCAAGUUUACCUUCUCCGCCGCCUGUUUGAACGAAAGCUUGGGAUGUCCAUAGUUUAAAUACUGCUGCAGAAUAGUUUGAAGUAUCAUGCAAAAGUUUUCUCAUCAGAAUUUUAUUUCUUUCCUAAUUGCUUAGGGGAAAAGGACAUGUAUAGAAUUAGGUACCAGUUUGACAACACAUUAUUGAAUUACAAAAAGAAUGUUUUGUUGAUUUGCCGUGUAACCUAUGAGAAUUAUUCAAAGAAAGCUACCGUUCUAUCAGUCUUUUAACGACCCUUUUUUUCUUCCGCUCAAAUUAUCUCAAAGGAUCCCUGCAAAUUGUACUGUGUUGGAUCGUGAGUAGUUCAUUCAUUGAUUUCAUUUAUAAAGUUGUAUUUUCUAUGAUUUUUAAUUUUCUUUCUUUAUAUUUAUUUUUUCAACCAUUAAAUUAAAAUUUAUCAAUUUAUUUAGAAGUAAUUAUUGAUGAAAGUAAAUUUCACUUUAUAAAAAGCACGGUUAUGAUAAAAUUUCUUGAACUUGCCCUUUAUUUUAACUAAUUUAACCCUUCUCUCUCGCACACACAUGGCUAGGUCUCGAUCUCUCUCCUCUCAACCCACAGGUAAUAAUCUUUUCCUCCACUUUGACUUGAAUGUCAUUAUAGCAUUUACAGGCUGCUUUACUGUUCUGUGCAUAUUGAAGAGCUUUCCUUGGCAAGAAAUUUGAAAAUGUGUUUUUCACAAACACAGCCCAUUUACCAAUACAACAGAAGAAACAAAAUGUCAAAAGCUCCACAGCUCGUCACAUGAGAAAAGUUAAAACUUAGAAAAACUGAUCAGUGCAACUCUGAUGAAUGCAAUAAAUGUGUAUUUGCUCUUUUCCCCACAAUUGUCUUUUAACAUAACAAACUCCAGCAGGAUUCAUCACCGCUCUACAGCUUCUAUCUUCUUUAACAAAUAUAUAGUGGGGGCACUCACAGAUGAAAUUACUCCUCCAUUGAAGCUCUUACGCGGGAAGGGCAGGUCAAGAUUCUGUGGUUGGGCUCUGGAUACAGCAAAACCAUUUUUUCUGAAAACCAAUGAAUUAUCUGUGUCAGAACGAAAUAUAACACCCAUGAAUUUCUGGGUUUAAAAGACCAUAGCCACCAAUCAAAGAGAUUUUUAUAUUCUGGUGAUUUAAAAGGUCCAUUUCCAGUCAUCAGGAUCACUUUCACUACAAGGAUAUACAUUACCAAAAGCAAAGAUGACACUUUACUCGAAUUCAUAGGGUUAGAAUCAGUAAAAUUAAAAGUUGAUGCAUGAAUAGCAAGCUAACUCCAAUUAUUGCACAAUUAACACACUGCUCCUAAUUUUUUAGUGAAUGUGCAUAUGCACCUGAGUUUCAAGUUGAGUUGCAAAGAUAAAGACCAUUUAUGUGAUGACUCGUGAGUAUCAAAGAAUUUAUAACCUGAGGCUUGCCAGGAUUCACUCCAGGCUUACUAUGAGAGUCAAUCUUUUCAGGUGACUCAGGUUUGCCACCGGUCUUCUUCUCAUCCCUAGCCUUGUUAAAUAUCACAGUAAAUCCCUCAGCUGAAGCAGGAUCAUUGACAUCCCAAUCGCCAAAUUUUGGCAAUGGCCGACCUGUAU